rnacentral:rRNA from 1 species
AAGGAGGGCAAGUCUGGUGCCAGCAGCCGCGGUAAUCCAGCUCUAAUAGCGUAUAUAAUAUUGUUGCUAAGUUAAAAAGCUCGUAGUUGAAAUUUGGUAACUUUAUUGUAUUGGUUUGUCUUUUGAUGAACUGUAUAAUGGGUUUCUUCCUACUAGAGUUCGAUUCUGUUCUUAACUGAAUGGAGUAGCUAUCUCUCGGGGUGGUCAAUUGGUUGUUAUAUCUCCACUAAUAAGCAGAGAGGGGUUAAACCUUUGAAGUAAGUUAUGUGGGUCAAGGUAUGAUGAUUAAUUGGAGUUCUAGUUCAUUUACUUGAGAAAAUUAGAGUGUUUAAAGCAGCCUCUUGGGGCACUGAAUACAUUAGCAUGGGAUAAUAAAAUAGGAUCUUCACAAUAUAUUUUAUUGGUUUAAAAUUGCGUAUGAAGAUAAUGAUUAAUAGGG